GAUGAAGAACGUAGCGAAAUGCGAUAAGUAAUGUGAAUUGCAGAAUUCAGUGAAUCAUCGAAUCUUUGAACGCACAUUGCGCCCUCUGGUAUUCCGGGGGGCAUGCCUGUUCGAGCGUCAUUAUAACCACUCAAGCUCUCGCUUGGUAUUGGGGCUCGCGGUUCCGCGGCCCCUAAAAUCAGUGGCGGUGCCUGUCGGCUCUACGCGUAGUAAUACUCCUCGCGAUUGAGUCCGGUAGGUCUACUUGCCAGCAACCCCCAAUUUUUGCAGGUUGACCUCGGAUCAGGUAGGGAUACCCGCUGAACUUAAGCAUAUCAAUAAGCGGAGGA
rnacentral:misc_RNA from 1 species